rnacentral:lncRNA from 1 species
GGGUACAUGGCCUUAUACAAAUUUUUUUAAUUUCUCAUUAAAAGAGUGGGAAAGUUAUUCAAAAUGGAUGACUAAAAUUUCUUUUUGAUUCAGAAUUCUCCAGCACACCAUCCAUUGUGACAGGAAAGAAUAGAAAGACAUCAAGAAGCAAGGACCGAUGGAAAGUCGUAGUUAAGGAGGAAGCAGUACCAUGUGCCUCCUAAAACUAGAUCAUAAAGGCAGUAACAUUCCUUUUCAUCUGCCAUGCUGUGAGGAAACCCUAACUGAAGAACAUGAGGAAACCACAUGGAGAGGCCAGAUGGAGGCACUUAACGACUGAUGAAAGUGGGACAGUUUGCUUCAAAUGAUUCAGAAGCAUAAAUAGGACUAACAUAAUUGAAUGGGCUUUUCCCCUAUUCUGGGAGAAUGAGCAUCAAUUCCAUCUUUUUUGGAGGAAUUAAACAAAGGUGUGAACAACUGAAGAGAAGGAGCGUGGAGUCCUCUCCCAAGGAGAGCCUGAGUAGCCAGGUGGGUAGCUUACAGGCAAGCACAGUUCCAAGAAACAACAACAACAACAACAACAACAGAACCAAAAAAGAUCUAAGCUUGCCCACAGCAACAAGGUUUGUUUAUCACAAAAGACUUCUUUCCAUUAUGUUGUUUAAAUUUCUAAUUUGGUAGCCAUCAAAUUAGAAGCACUGAGGUAUGUUAAUUGAAGUGUCUUCUGCCAAAUUCCUGAGAGCAUAUAGAUAUGAAUAUUUUAUUACAAAGGAUUCGGGGCAAAG